CUUUUCCUCUUUCUUUCUGCCUAACACAUGCAAGUCGAACGGCAGCACAGUAAGAGCUUGCUCUUACGGGUGGCGAGUGGCGGACGGGUGAGGAAUACAUCGGAAUCUACUUUUUCGUGGGGGAUAACGUAGGGAAACUUACGCUAAUACCGCAUACGACCUACGGGUGAAAGCAGGGGAUCUUCGGACCUUGCGCGAAUGAAUGAGCCGAUGUCGGAUUAGCUAGUUGGCGGGGUAAAGGCCCACCAAGGCGACGAUCCGUAGCUGGUCUGAGAGGAUGAUCAGCCACACUGGAACUGAGACACGGUCCAGACUCCUACGGGAGGCAGCAGUGGGGAAUAUUGGACAAUGGGCGCAAGCCUGAUCCAGCCAUACCGCGUGGGUGAAGAAGGCCUUCGGGUUGUAAAGCCCUUUUGUUGGGAAAGAAAAGCAGCAGGUUAAUACCCCGCUGUUCUGACGGUACCCAAAGAAUAAGCACCGGCUAACUUCGUG
rnacentral:rRNA from 1 species